UUGACAUCCAGAGAAUUUAGCAGAGAUGCUUUAGUGCCUUCGGGAACUCUGAGACAGGUGCUGCAUGGCUGUCGUCAGCUCGUGUUGUGAAAUGUUGGGUUAAGUCCGCAACGAGCGCAACCCUUAUCCUUUUGUUGCCAGCACGUAAUGGUGGGAACUCAAAGGAGACUGCCGGUGAUAAACCGGAGGAAGGUGGGGAUGACGUCAAGUCAUCAUGGCCCUUACGAGUAGGGCUACACACGUGCUACAAUGGCGUAUACAAAGAGAAGCGACCUCGCGAGAGCAAGCGGACCUCAUAAAGUGCGUCGUAGUCCGGAUUGGAGUCUGCAACUCGACUCCAUGAAGUCGGAAUCGCUAGUAAUCGUAAAUCAGAAUGUUACGGUGAAUACGUUCCCGGGCCUUGUACACACCGCCCGUCACACCAUGGGAGUGGGUUGCAAAAGAAGUAGAUAGCUUAACCUUCGGGAGGGCGUUUACCACUUUGUGAUUCAUGACUGGGGUGAAGUCGUAACAAGGUAGGCGUAGUGCU
rnacentral:rRNA from 1 species